AACGAUUGUAGACAUACACAGAAGUGGCUGGAAUAGGAUAAUGCACCCCGUGGGCCGUCGCCAGCUUCUGCCGUCAUCAACACAUGACGGUCUUGUUUUACUCAUUUCCCCCACCUUCUCCCUCGGCAAAUUGGGAACAAUCGUCAGAUUAUUGAUUUCAUUUAUGAAUAUUUCAAUCCAUAUCUAAAAAAUAAGGACCCCCAAAAAAGGAAAUACAUCGUCACACCUAAAAAUAAUUAACAGUAUAAUCCCUGAAUAUCAAAUAUGUAGUCAGCAUUCAAACUGCCUUUUGUCUCCGAACUGUCAAUAGAUUUUUAUUUUAAAUUUAAAAAUUUAUUUGAAUCAAGGGCCAGAGAAAGUCUAGGCGUGGCAACUGGUUGAUAAGACUUUUAUAGUCUUUUAAGUCUGUUUUAAUCUUUUCUCCUUGAUAUUUAUUUAAUGAUGUCACGUUGUUUAUUCUACAGAAUUUUCCAGUCUGCAAUUUGUUGAAUGCAUCCCUGUGGUGCCGUUUGACAUGAUCCUCUGUCCUCUGUAUUUCCUGCCAAUUGGUAGUUGGACCUAGAGCCAGAUUCCCUUUCGAUGUUAUGUAUUUACUGCUUCCCAGGCCCUUAGGGGUCUAUGCAGAUAGUAAUGGGGGAUGUGAAUCACUUGUCAGUAUUUUAAAGUACUUCAUAUUUUCAGCUACUAAUAUAAGCUAACAACAUCGUCCAUUUUCUUUGAUUUUGCCUAGAAUCACAUCAUCUCAUUGAGAUAAACCAGAUAUUUCAUGCAGUCUUCAGCCUGGCAAACAGCUAUUACGGACAAUGUGGAAGGAAGGUGGUGGAAAAUGAACUUUACAGAUUGCCCUCAGUCAUUAGCGAAAGUCACAAAGUCCAUAGAAGGCAGGACGUCAGUGGACAGGUGGUCCAGGUCGCCUGUGGUCAGGACCAUAGUCUGUUCCUAACGGAUAAAGGAGAAGUCUAUUCUGGUGGAUGGGGCGCAGCUGGGCAAACAGGUAGUGGACCUUACACCCCCUUGGGAUGGUGCAGUCUGGAGCUGUGAGCGGUGGGGCUCUCAUGGGCUAAAACCACCUGCCUUCAUUUGACUCUUACCUCUCUUAUCACUUCCU